UGAGCAGGUUGCAGUUCCAGUCCUUUGUUUUCGUGGGAGUGCUGGCAUAACCCUGCUGAAAACAAAUAUGUGCCAAUCAUUUUUUAUUUUACCUCAUUCGGAGGUAAAAUGAUCACUGAUUAGCACAGACAGUU
rnacentral:snoRNA from 10 species